AUUGAACGCUGGCGGCAGGCCUAACACAUGCAAGUCGAACGGUAACAGGAAACAGCUUGCUGUUUCGCUGACGAGUGGCGGACGGGUGAGUAAUGUCUGGGAAACUGCCUGAUGGAGGGGGAUAACUACUGGAAACGGUAGCUAAUACCGCAUAACGUCGCAAGACCAAAGAGGGGGACCCUCGGGCCUCUUGCCAUCGGAUGUGCCCAGAUGGGAUUAGCUUGUUGGUGGGGUAACGGCUCACCAAGGCGACGAUCCCUAGCUGGUCUGAGAGGAUGACCAGCCACACUGGAACUGAGACACGAUCCAGACUCCUACGGGAGGCAGCAGUGGGGAAUAUUGCACAAUGGGCGCAAGCCUGAUGCAGCCAUGCCGCGUGUAUGAAGAAGGCCUUCGGGUUGUAAAGUACUUUCAGCGGGGAGGAAGGGAGUAAAGUUAAUACCUUUGCUCAUUGACGUUACCCGCAGAAGAAGCACCGGCUAACUCCGUG
rnacentral:rRNA from 1 species